CCAAGGAGUCUAACAUGUGCGCGAGUCAUUGGGUCUUGUUCAGGCCCAGAGGCGCAAUGAAAGUGAAGGACGCCCCAGUCGGUGUCUGCGUUGGGAUCCCGGGGCCUCGAGCUCCGGGCGCACCAACGGCCCGUCCCGUCCGCCACGUCGGUGGGACGGAGCGAGAGCGUACACGUUGGGACCCGAAAGAUGGUGAACUAUGCCUGGGCAGGACGAGGCCAGAGGAAACUCUGGUGGAGGUCCGCAGCGAUUCUGACGUGCAAAUCGAUCGUCAGACCUUGGUAUAGGGGCGAAAGACUAAUCGAACCGUCUAGUAGCUGGUUCCCUCCGAAGUUUCCCUCAGGAUAGCUGGUGCUCGAUCGGAAUCAGUCUCAUCCGGUAAAGCGAAUGAUUAGAGGCCUUGGGGCCGAAACGACCUCAACCUAUUCUCAAACUUUCAAUGGGUGAGAAGUCCGGUUUACCCGACUGAAGCCCGGACGAUUCUCAGGAUGUGAGUGCCCAGUGGGCCACUUUU
rnacentral:rRNA from 1 species